GACGAACGCUGGCGGCGUGCCUAAUACAUGCAAGUCGAGCGAAUUGAUGGGAGCUUGCUCCCUGAUAUUAGCGGCGGACGGGUGAGUAACACGUGGGUAACCUGCCUGUAAGAUUGGGAUAACUCCGGGAAACCGGGGCUAAUACCGGAUAAUACUUUUAACCGCAUGGUUGAAAGUUGAAAGAUGGUUUCGGCUAUCACUUACAGAUGGACCCGCGGGGCAUUAGCUAGUUGGUGAGGUAACGGCUCACCAAGGCAACGAGGCGUAGCCGACCUGGGGGGGUGAUCGGCCACACUGGGACUGGGCAACGGCCCAGACUCAUACAGGAGGCAGCAGUAGGGAAGCUUCCGCAAUGGACGAAAGUCUGACGGUGCAACGCCGCGUGAACGAUGAAGGCCUUCGGGUCGUAAAGUUCUGUUGUUAGGGAAGAAUAAGUACCAGAGUAACUGCUGGUACCUUGACGGUACCUAACCAGAAAGCCACGGCUAACUACGUGCCAGCAGCCGCCGUAACAC
rnacentral:rRNA from 1 species